AUGAGGAUGACAUAUUUGAGAAUAUAUGCUGCAAUUAAUGUUUGUCCCAAGAUUGGGGAUGCUAUGUUUAAUAAUGAUGAUAUUUUUAGCCUCCCAAGUUUUGAUAUGCAAAGUAGUUAUGAUGAUAGCAUACCUUCUACCUAUGAUGAUUAUAUUGAUGAAAGUGGGUUUGGAAGAGUGUCAACUUUAGGAAGUAAUGAUCCCACUAUUUUGGAGGAUGUUAAAUCUUAUAAUAUUUAUGAAAGUGGAUUUGCAGAGGUCAUGACUUUAUUUAGUGAUGUAUCCACUAUCUUCGAAGAGGUUUCAAUCGAUUAUGAUGAGAACAAAGUUGCUACUUAUGAUGAUUACUGUGAUAAAACUUAUGCUAUAAAGAGUAGUGAUGAUUAUAUUUAUAAAAAUUGUCAUGAUUAUGAUUAUCCUUUUUCUGAACAUUACUCUUUUAAUGUGGAAACAAUUUAUAGUAUUCAAGUCUCUUAUGAUACUCCCACUAUUCCGAAUGAGAAGAAUUGUGCUUAUGUGGAGAGUAGUAAAUUUUCUAUGCUUGUAGAUCAUGAAAAGAAUGCUUUAGGUGCUGGUUAUAUUGUUGAAUUCAUUCAUGAUGCUACUAAAAAUUAUUAUGAGGGAGGAACAUAUGCUUGUAGGAAUUGUAAUAAUAUCAAGUUUCCUCUCAAUGUGCUUAAAGUUUUAAAGUUAUGCUUGCUUUGCCUUCCUAUGCAAGUUGAUUGUUGUUUCCAUAAGUUGUUUGCUCACAAAAUCCCUAUGCAUAGGAAGUGGGUUAGACUUAAAUGUGCUAGUCAUAUUCUUAAUGAUGCUCUCUUUAUGUUUCAAUUCUUAUCUUUUAUGUGA
rnacentral:rRNA from 1 species